rfam:Cephalotus follicularis DNA, scaffold: scaffold1034, isolate: St1.
AUACCUUUCUCGGCCUUUUGGUUAAGAUCAAGUGUAGUAUCUGUUCUUAUCAGUUUAAUAUCUGAUAUGUGGAUCAUAGAUUUACACGAUAUUAAAUUAAUUUUUUUAGGGUGAGAGCCUGUUACGGUAGCUUGCUGCUGGGGUUCUUGAGUGUCGUCCGUGUCUUGCACUAUUGCACGGGUUUGGCGCAACCCAC